rnacentral:miRNA from 1 species
AGGCGCUUGCCAGCUUUAUCC